rnacentral:rRNA from 1 species
UACGGAGGGUGCGAGCGUUGUUCGGAUUUACUGGGCGUAAAGCGCACGUAGGCGGAUCGUUAAGUCGGGGGUGAAAUCCUGGAGCUCAACUCCAGAACUGCCUUCGAUACUGGCGAUCUUGAGUCCGGAAGAGGUGAGUGGAACUCCUAGUGUAGAGGUGGAAUUCGUAGAUAUUAGGAAGAACACCAGUGGCGAAGGCGGCUCACUGGUCCGGUAUUGACGCUGAGGUGCGAAAGCGUGGGGAGCAAACAGG